GACUGAGGCUGGAGCCCUGCAGAGGAGGCCCAGGGUGCAUGGCAUGGGGCCCAGGCAAGGCCAUCGCCUUGGUGUGGGAUUGGGAUGGAGCAGGGAGGAGCACCCGGCCUGGCUUCCUCGGAGUUGAGUCAGCCCAGGCUGGAGUGCAAUGGUGCAAUCUUGGCUCGCUGCAACCUCCACCUCCAGGUUCAAGCAAUUCUCCUGCCUCAGCCUCCCAAGUAUCUGGGAUUACAGAGUUUCGUUCUUGUUGCCAGGCUGGAGUGCAGUGGCGUGAUCUCUGCUCACCGCAAACUCUGCCUCCUGGGUUCAAGCGCUUCUCCUGCCUCAGCCUCUGGAGUAGCUGGGAUUACAAGCAUGCACCACCACACCUGGCUAAUUUUGUAUUUUUAGUAGAGAUGGUGUGUAGAAAGUAAAAAGUUUCCUCUUCAAAGUUUCCCUUCUUGUUAAAGAAUAAAUCGUAAGUGUUAGAAAUAA